UACGUAGGGGGCAAGCGUUGUCCGGAUUCAUUGGGCGUAAAGGGUGCGUAGGCGGCGCGGUAAGUCGGGUGUGAAAUCUCGGGGCUUAACUCCGAAACUGCAUUCGAUACUGCCGUGCUUGAGGACUGGAGAGGAGACUGGAAUUUACGGUGUAGCGGUGAAAUGCGUAGAUAUCGUAAGGAAGACCAGUGGCGGAAGGCGGGUCUCUGGACAGUUCCUGACGCUGAGGCACGAAGGUCAGGGGAGCAAACGGG
rnacentral:rRNA from 1 species